UAAGCACAUACGUGCAGCGGGCUAGGUUGUUUUCCACAGUUCUGGACGUUAACGAAAUCAGCAAGCCGACUUAUACAGAAGAAACGUAGGGGCAUCUACAGUUGUUACCAAACCCUAUCAUCAAGGUUCAAGCCCAAAAGAUCCCCACGAUGGCCUACGAUCCACAUCAGGGAAUGUCAACGGCCAUGCUUGAGCAUUUCCUUAGCGUUACUCGUAAAAACGGAUAUCAUUGUGUUUUUCCGUAUGGGUGGAAAUUGCCACUCCCCUACGAUGUUAUACGCGACGACCUGAGAGCCCCCUUCUUUAUCGGAUGGACAUUUCGG